UAAAGGGCACCCAGCUGCAUUCCUCACGCGUGCCUUCUUUCAAUUUCCACUGCCCCAGAACCAAGGUGAACACGAGCUUGGCAUAUCAUUUUUGCCAAGUCGAAUCAUAGAUGGGUUUGGAGACCGAAAUCGAUUUAGAGAUGGUAUUGAGGACGGAGUCGCAACCAUAUUCUUGCCCAAAAGGAUUUCACGGGCCUGCAAUUGAGAUUUCUGUACACAAAUUGGGUGAGAUUUCACUCUUUAAUUCACUCCUUCGUUUGAUUUGUGUACAACAAAAAUGAAACCUUCUUCUUGGUCUUCUUCAUCGGCGACUCUGGGCUUUGAAUGUUGUUUUCUGGCUUUGUGAGUUCGAACAAGGCAAGGGUCUUCCGGUACUACAGGGGAAACCUCACCGGGUGGGUGCUGUUAUUGAGGUGUAAAGAAAAGCGGCAAUUAUCAAAGCCUCAAAGGUCUCUCGAAGCUUAUUUUUCUCUAAGGUGGCCGGAGAUAAGAACAGCGACUAUACUGUAGCCAAGUAUCAGAACUCCAGGAUUUAAACUCAAGGGUGAGGCCUUCUUUUAUUUACCCACUGGCUAUUUUGAGAAUAGGCGUUUUAGAAUGGAGAUCGGGACUCGCUCUUUUUGGCUAUGGUGUUUUGAAAGAAUGCAGGGGGUAAUUAUAUGUGGUGUUUAAGUGAAGUUGACAGAGUUCUUGUUAUCAUUUUUAUGUUGAAUCACGACCCUAUAUGGAAGCAAGGUCUGGAUGGUGAUCCACAAAGUAUCCUCUGUCAGUUCUGGUUUAUUAAAUUGCCGAAACUUGAGGAUGAUAUAGGCACCCUAAGGCACGCCGUUUCAAAGUUCUGAAAACAGUAUUGGCACCGUAAGGCACCGCCACCGGAGCUUUGAAAAUGGUAAAACCAUAAAGCGUUGCAGACGUACUCCCCACCUUUGAUUCCUGUGGAACACGCUGCGGCUUCUCCUCUGUCUCCUUUGCUUUCUUUCUCUUUCUGCUUCUGUUUUUCUUCCUUUUUUUGGGCACAGCCCUCUUGGCUUUUUAUAUAAUGCACUGAUGGUAUAAUUGAGUUUUAGAGAGACUCUUGUAUUUGAUAUGCAUUGAAACACUAAAAGAUAGCUGUAAUCUUUAUCAUGGAAGCUCCCCCGUACGGGUUGCACUCAAACUCUAGUAUUUGAUAAGCUUGUGAGCAAAUAUGACGUGGGCCUUUGGCUUUCA